UUUUCGCUCGCUCUCUAUAGCGUCGAAAAGAAUGAUUAUCCGUGUGAGAGGGCUAAUCAGCCUGUGACAUACUAUCAAUCAGUUUAAUAACAAUGCACGUGUACCAAUUUUACCAAAUAUCUUUUCCAAAAAUAAUAAUUUGUAAUUAAAUAACCAAAAAAUAAUCGACUGUCUACACAAUCAAAUCCUACGAAGUCCAAGAGCUUUAAUA
rnacentral:lncRNA from 1 species